rnacentral:rRNA from 1 species
CUCCAUCACACCGCAUGGUGUGUUGGGAAAGCCUUUGCGGCAUGGGAUGGGGUCGCGUCCUAUCAGCUUGAUGGCGGGGUAACGGGCCACCAUGGCUUCGACGGGUAGCCGGCCUGAGAGGGCGACCGGCCACAUUGGGACUGAGAUACGGCCCAGACUCCUACGGGAGGCAGCAGUGGGGAAUAUUGCACAAUGGGCGCAAGCCUGAUGCACCGACGCCGCGUGAGGGAUGGAGGCCUUCGGGUUGUAAAAUUCUAUUGUUAGGGAGCAAGGCACUUUGUGUUGAGUGUACCUUUCGAAUAAGCACCGGCUAACUACGUGCCAGCAGCCGCGGUAAUACGUAGGGUGCAAGCGUUAUCCGGAAUUAUUGGGCGUAAAGGGCUCGUAGGCGGUUCGUCGCGUCCGGUGUGAAAGUCCAUCGCUUAACGGUGGAUCCGCGCCGGGUACGGGCGGGCUUGAGUGCGGUAGGGGAGACUGGAA